rnacentral:rRNA from 1 species
UACGAGGGGGGCAAGCGUUGUUCGGAAUUAUUGGGCGUAAAGGGUGCGUAGGCGGUUUGAUAAGUCACAUGUGAAAUCUUCGGGCUCAACCCGAAGUCUGCAUGCGAAACUGUCGGGCUUGAGUGUGGGAGAGGUGAGUGGAAUUCCUGGUGUAGCGGUGAAAUGCGUAGAUAUCAGGAGGAACACCUGUGGUGUAGACAGCUUACUGGACCACUUCUGACGCUGAGACACGAAAGCGUGGGUAGCAAACAGG